rnacentral:rRNA from 1 species
CGGACGGGUGAGUAAUGUCUGGGAAACUGCCUGAUGGAGGGGGAUAACUACUGGAAACGGUAGCUAUACCGCAUAACGUCGCAAGACCAAAGAGGGGGACCUUCGGGCCUCUUGCCAUCGGAUGUGCCCAGAUGGGAUUAGCUAGUAGGUGGGGUAAAGGCUCACCUAGGCGACGAUCCCUAGCUGGUCUGAGAGGAUGACCAGCCACACUGGAACUGAGACACGGUCCAG